AUGCGGCUUCAGCGGCAGAUCGGCGGCCUCAUCGACGAAGACCAGUCCGGCUUCUUGUCCGGGCCUAGCAUCUCGGAGAACUUUGUCUACGCGACGGAGAUCGUGCAAUGCUACCACAAGCGAGGAGUGCCCACGUUGGUGUUCAAGCUCGACUUCGCCAAAGCCUUCGACUCUAUUGCAUGGCCCAGCCUUCGCCGCAUCAUGGAGGUGCGGGGGUUCCAGCCCGCUUGGUGCGAUUGGAUGGAUCUCAUCCUUCAAUCCUCUAAGGCAGCGGUGCUGCUCAGUGGGAUCCCGGGGCGCUGGUUCGCGGUCCGCAAGGGGCUUCGGCAGGGCGACCCGAUCUCCCCCUACCUAUUGCUCCUAGUUGCCGACGUGCUGCAACACAUGAUCCGGUCGGAUCGAGCCCUUCGCCAGCCCUUAUGCGAGGGUGCUCCGGCGGUGGUGCUCCAGUAUGCUGAUGAUACACUAAUCAUCAUGCGAGCUACGACGGGGGGCGCGGCUAGGCUGCGCGUCAUCCUCGACCUGUUCGCCGCUGCCACAGGGCUCGUCAUCAACUUCGCCAAAAGCACCCUCGUCCCCAUGCAUGUGGAGCCGGAGGUGAUCGCGGCGGUGGUGGUGACGUUCGGUGCAGCGUUGGCGCCUUCCCGCAGACCUACUUGGGGUUGCCGCUCUCAUGCGACAAGCUCAAGAUCGACGACUUUGCACCGAUGCUGGCUAAGGUGGACCGAUACCUGGCGGGGUGGCGUGCCCGGCUUCUGUCCCCCGCGGGGCGUCUGGUGCUCAUCAACGCGGUCUUGGACUCCCUCCCUACCUAUGCCAUGGCGUCCAUGCGGCUUCCGCCCCGCGGUCCUGGCCAAGCUUGAUGGGUUGCGGCGUGCGUUCCUGUGGAACAUCGCGGCGCGGGCCUCCGGUGCUCAGUGCCUGGUUGCCUGGGACCGGGUCUGCCGUGCCAAGGCCGAAGGGGCUCGGCUUUCGAGCCAUAGGGAUUCAGAACAACUGCCUCCUCCUCAAGCUGCUUCAUCGCCUUCACUCCGGCGUGCCGUCCCGGUGGGCUUCUUGGGUUUGGAGCCUGCUCGACGGGCGGUCUCUCCUGUGCCCCGGCCGCUCCCCGCUCCUGGGUGA
rnacentral:rRNA from 1 species